rnacentral:rRNA from 1 species
AUUGAACGCUGGCGGCAGGCCUAACACAUGCAAGUCGAGCGAGCGGCGGACGGGUGAGUAAUGUAUGGGGACUGCCCGAUAGAGGGGGAUAACUACUGGAAACGGUAGCUAAUACCGCAUACUAUCGGAUAUCCCCUAUGGGUUUAGCUUGUAGGUGAGGUAACGGCUCACCUAGGCGACGAUCCCUAGCUGGUCUGAGAGGAUGAUCAGCCACACUGGGACUGAGACACGGCCCAGACUCCUCCGGAGGCAGCAGUGGGGAAUAUUGCACAAUGGGCGCAAGCCGGAUGCAGCCAUGCCGCGUGUAUGAAGAAGUCCUUCGGGUUGUAAAGCACUUUCAGCGAGGAGGCGUUACUCGCAGAAGAAGCACCGGCUAACUCCGUGCCAGCAGCCGCGGUAAUAG